rnacentral:rRNA from 1 species
GGCUCAGGAUGAACGCUGGCGGCGUGCUUAACACAUGCAAGUCGAACGGACGUCUUGGGAAACUGGGACGUUAGUGGCAAACGGGUGCGUAACACGUGGGUGACCUACCCCAAAGUGGGGAACAACGGACCGAAAGGUUCGCUAAUACCGCAUAAGCUCGAUGAUUCACUUUGUCGAGUAAAGCCGUAAGGCGCUUUGGGAGGGGCCCGCGGCCCAUCAGGUAGUUGGUGAGGUAAUGGCCCACCAAGCCGAUGACGGGUAGCUGGUCUGAGAGGAUGAUCAGCCACACUGGCACUGAGAUACGGGCCAGACUCCUACGGGAGGCAGCAGUGAGGAAUAUUGCGCAAUGGGGGAAACCCUGACGCAGCGACGCCGCGUGGGCGACGAAGGCCUUCGGGUCGUAAAGCCCUUUUGUCAGGGACGAGUGAGGACGGUACCUGGCGAAUAAGUCUCGGCUAACUACGUGCCAGCAGCCGCGGUAAAACGUAGGAGGCGAGCGUUAUCCGGAUUCACUGGGCGUAAAGCACGCGUAGGCGGUUGGUUAAGUCGGAUGUGAAAGCCCCUGGCUCAACUGGGGGAGGUCAUUCGAUACUGGCCGGCUUGAGGGUGAGAGAGGGGAGUGGAAUUCCCGGUGUAGCGGUGGAAUGCGUAGAGAUCGGGAGGAACACCAGUGGCGAAGGCGGCUCCCUGGCUCACUCCUGACGCUGAGAGCGCGAAAGCGUGGGGAGCAAACGGGAUUAGAUACCCCGGUAGUCCACGCUCUAAACGAUGAGGGCUAGGUGUUGGUGGGAUUUCCCAUCUGUGCCGAAGCAAACGCGUUAAGCCCUCCGCCUGGGGACUACGAAACGCAGUUAAAACU